UACGUAGGGGGCGAGCGUUGUCCGGAUUUACUGGGUGUAAAGGGUGCUCAGGCGGGUCUGUAAGUCAGGGGUGAAAUCCCAGAGCUUAACUCUGGAACUGCCUUUGAUACUGCAGAUCUCGAGUUUGGGAGAGGCGAGUGGAAUAUCUGGUGUAGCAGUGAAAUGCGUAGAUAUCAGAUAGCACACCAAUGGCGAAGGCAGCUCGCUGGCCCAAUACUGACGCUAAAGCAAGAAAGCGUGGGGAGCAACCAGG
rnacentral:rRNA from 1 species